rnacentral:rRNA from 1 species
AUUGAACGCUGGCGGCAGGCCUAACACAUGCAAGUCGAGCGGGGUUUUCGGACCUAGCGGCGGACGGGUGAGUAAUGCGUAGGAAGCUACCCGAUAGAGGGGGAUACCAGUUGGAAACGACUGUUAAUACCGCAUAAUGUCUACGGACCAAAGUGUGGGACAUUCGGGCCACAUGCUAUCGGAUGCGCCUACGUGGGAUUAGCUAGUUGGUGAGGUAAUGGCUCACCAAGGCGACGAUCCCUAGCUGGUUUGAGAGGAUGAUCAGCCACACUGGAACUGAGACACGGUCCAGACUCCUACGGGAGGCAGCAGUGGGGAAUAUUGGACAAUGGGCGCAAGCCUGAUCCAGCCAUGCCGCGUGUGUGAAGAAGGCCUUCGGGUUGUAAAGCACUUUCAGUAGGGAGGAAGAGUGUUGUGUUAAUAGCACAGCAUUUUGACGUUACCUACAGAAGAAGCACCGGCUAACUCUGUGCCAGCAGCCGCAGUAAAAC